AAAUCGCUAUCCCAAACUUCCACCAGAGUUCGUUUGCUCACAAACCAAACUCUUCCACUUAGGCAUUAUGGGAUAGCGAUUUCUUAGGCCGCGUAUACUGUGACGUCACUGUAGAAUGACGAAAAAACAUAACGUCAAACGUAACCAACUUUCAAAACAAGAACGUAAACAUCAAAUUCAUUACUUUACACAAUAAUUUGAACAGAGUAUUCCUACUUUUUAAUGAUCUUUUGAUCAUUUUAUGUUUAAAAUAAAAUCCAUACUUUUAUAUUAAUGCUUUUAAUAUUAAUAUCUUCAGACUUUUAACUGCGAACUACUUCUUUAGUGUAAUUUGUCUGCGUGAUAAUCGCGGACUCACAAUAUACAGAUCUGUAUAUUGUGGUGCGUCACAUAGGAGAGGUCUAUUCGUAGGCACUGUGACGUAAUGAGGCCUCGACGAGGAGUUUGAUCGCUAUCCAAUUCACGCUUCCACUGGCGUCAGGGGAGGUGCGGUUAUCAUCUCCGCACAGCCAAUCAGAAUCGCGGAAGAAUUGUCCGCCAUUACCUCCGUCAAAACUUUUGAUGACGGAGGUUUUGAGGUACAGAUGUUUUAGCCUGAUUACUUCGAGUUCUCAUAAAAUUGGUGGAAUUGUGUGCAUCGGGGAAAUGCAACAGUGAUUCACGUUACCCAGAAAGGAUACUAGAAGUAAUGUUUAUCCCAUUUCCAAACCCAAAAUCACAUAAAGAUUAAUGUUUACGUUGGAUAAAGGCGUGCGGUAGGCCCCACAGUAAGAGCAGAAUGGACCGGCACACAAAAUUCAUUGGAUAUACUUGUAACAGCAGCACAAGUCAGAAUUUACAAGACCAGUUAACAGCAGCAGAAAAUGCCUUUCAUCAACAGAGCAUACUUAAUCAUCACCUGCAACUCCAGUUAUCAAUGGAAGCCCAAGAUUAACCCCACCAACAGGCCACCCCUUUUGACAUUAACAGUACUCUACAGCAAGAGAGAAAAAAACAGGGUUGUUUUUAUAUUAUAUCAAUUUGAGACAUGCCACAUUUUGUUCUUUGUUAGAGUUUUUUUUUAUAUACAUCUGAGCAAAUUCCCCAGUGUUUUAAAAAAGGAGGGACAUAACAAAUAUGACAAAACAAUCGCAGUUGUUAUUAACACUGAUGAGGCUGCGACAUAAUUUUGAAAUCAAGGACUUGGCAUCAAGAUUUUGUAUUUCAACACAGUGUAUCAGUGAUGUAUUCUGUGCCUGAAUUGACCUUAUGUUGUGUUAGGUUGUGUUUCAAUAUAGUCCUAUAGGAAUGAUAUUAACAACAUGACAACUGAAUAAAAGCUCAAUUCCCAACAACCAUCGCUAUCAUUGAUUGUGCAGAACGGAAAUCACAGAAACCAUCUUUAAAACUGCAGUUACAAAUUAUACAUUCUGACUACAGAUCAGCUACAACCUAAAGGGGACUUGUGGAUUGUGAUCCUUUAGGGGACACAAUGGAAACUAGCUGUAUGCUAAUUUGUGUUAUCUUGGAUAAAUAAAGGCUAUUAUUAUUAUCA